AAUAAGUGCAGUUUUACACUAUUCACGUUCAACGUUUGACCGUUCGUCUUAUUUGAAAAUUUUUUAUAUGAUUAGUAUUUUUAUUGCUAUUAGAUGAUAAAAUAUGAAUAGUAUUUUAUGUGUGACUAAAUAUUUUCAAUCUUUUCACAAAAUUUUCAAAUAAGACGGAUAGUCAAACGUUAGGCACGGAUAUCCACGGCUGUACUUAUU
rfam:Oryza meridionalis cultivar OR44 (W2112) chromosome 6, whole genome shotgun sequence.